UAGCACAGAACUCAAACUAUUACGUUUUAAUCUUUCGCCUUUUACUAAAGAUUACCGUGGUUAGGGUUUACUAUGUGCAUAUCAAACAUCUUUUUGUGGGCACCUCUGGUGCUUU
rfam:Stylonychia lemnae strain 130c genome assembly, contig: Contig14638